rnacentral:misc_RNA from 1 species
CAACCCCUCAGGCCCUGGUGCCUGGCGUCGGGGCUCUUCCUACGUCACCGUAGGAAGCCCUCAGAAACAGUGGCGGACCCGCCGCGGCUCCGAGCGCAGUAGUAACAUUCUCGCUUAGGAGGUCUCGCGGGGGGGUUCCCGGCCGUUAAACUAGUAGCCCUAGCGGGCUGCGACCAUACCCAA